ACUAUCUGCAAAAGUCUGCGCUUCUUCCUCUAAACCUCUGCUGCCUCCAUGCCACUUCCGCCUGUACGGCCACCAUCGACAUCACAACAACCUCAAGUAAUGAACAAAACGCCGCCUCCUCCUCUGUUUCAUGAUUUUCUCCGCGUAGACCGUUAGGUAAAGAUAAGUUCCUUUGAGUAAUUUUACAAAACGCCCGACCGGACUAUGGCCUGUGAUAAGCUCAGAACAAGCUUCUUUGAUUUCAGUGGAAGGGUUGUGUUUACAGCACUUGAAGCAUUUGUGAAGAAGAUGCCGACUAAGUAAAGAAGAAGAGUUGAAGUUGUAUAGCUACAAAGUUGUAGUAGAUGAGCUUGACUCUGCUGAGAAAUUUCUCAGGGCCCUUGUGGAGUACCAUUUGCAUUUCAAGAGGCUGAAGCAAUGCUUUAUAGAGAGACGGUUGAAGAUGAAGUGGUUCAUCUUAGAAACUCCUUCUCAAUGCUUGAGGAAGCUUGCACGGAGCUUAAGUCAAGCAGGUUAUUCCUGAAGCUUUUAAAAGUCGUCCUUAGGACUGGGAACAAGAUGAAUGUAGGAACCAUACUUGGUGGCGCAAAAGCCUUCAAGCUCUCCAAUGUUAAGUGCACA